rnacentral:rRNA from 1 species
GACGAACGCUGGCGGCGUGCUUAACACAUGCAAGUCGAACGGUGAAGCGCCUUCCUUGUUGGUGGGUGGGGAGCGGUGGCGAACGGGUUAGUAAGACGGGAGUAACCUGCCCCCUUCGGCUGGAUAACCGGAUGAAAGUGUGGCUAAUACGUGAUAUUCUGGGUCUGUCGCAUGAUUGGUCUAGGAAAGAUAUGGUUUCGGUUGUGGAUGGGCUCGCGGCAUAUCAGCUUGUUGGUGGGGUGAUGGCCUACCAAGGCGGUGACGGGUAGCCGGCCUGAGAGGGUGGACGAUCACAGUGGGACUGAGCCACGGCCCCGACUCCUAGGGGCGGCAGCAGUGGGGCAUCCUGCACAAUGGGAGCAAGCCUGAUGCAGCGACGCCGCGUGAGUGAUGGACGCCUUCGGGUUGUGAACUUCUUUCGCGAGUGAAGAAGGGCUGACUUGUUUGUGGGUGGGUUGACGGUAGCUGGAUAAGAAGCGACGGCUAACUACGUG